GACAGAGGAUGCAAGCGUUAUCCGAAAUGAUUGGGCGUAAAGCGUCUGUAGGUGGCUUUUCAAGUCCGCCGUCAAAUCCCAGGGCUCAACCCUGGACAGGCGGUGGAAACUACCAAGCUGGAGUAUGGUAGGGGCAGAGGCUCAUAGAGCCGGUGGAGCGGUGAAAUGCGUAGAGAUCGGAAAGAACACCAAUGGCGAAAGCACUCUGCUAGGCCGACACUGACACUGAGAGACGAAAGCUAGGGGAGCAAAUAGG
rnacentral:rRNA from 1 species